rnacentral:rRNA from 1 species
GACGAACGCUGGCGGCGUGCUUAACACAUGCAAGUCGAACGGAAAGGCCCCUUUUGUGGUACUCGAGUGGCUAACGGGUGAGUAACACGUGAGUAACCUGCCCUUGACUUCGUGUUGAAUAACGUAAACUGGGUCUAAUACCUGCUGGGUAUCCUUUCUUGCUGGUUGGGGUUGGAAAGCUUCGGCGGUUUUGGGUGGACUCGCGGCUUAUCAGCUUGUUUGUGGGGUAGUGGCUUACCAAGGCUUUGAUGGGUGGCCGGCCUGAGAGGGCGAGCGGCCACAUUGGGACUGAGAUACGGCCCAGACUCCUAAGGGAGGCAGGAGUGGGGAAUAUUGCAAAAUGGGCGGAAGCCUGAUGCAGCAACGCCGCGUGGGGGAUGACGGGCUUCGGGUUGUAAACCGCUUUCAGCAGGGGCGAAGCUUGUGGUGACGGUACCUGCAGAAGAAGCACCGGCUAACUACGUG